rnacentral:lncRNA from 1 species
UAGUACAUCACGCUCUGGCCCGCCAUGAAGUGCUGCUCCGCCGUCUCCAGGAAGCGCUCCAGGAGCAGUUCACCCAUCUCAGUUAAUCAAGCUCCGCGUCUUCUGCAGACUAAUCAAACCACUCAUGGAACCAAAGAAUGAGGAAAAGGCAGAUGGUAUCCCAGAAAGGUGUCUUCUCCAACAGCCAGAUACUUUUCAUCAG